rnacentral:lncRNA from 1 species
CAGUUCAUGUCUAGUUCAUCCAUUUAACUCAAUCAAUGUCAAUAUAACCUUAAGAACCCGUAGGAACACAAUAUAAUUACAUCAUACAGUAAAUUCAAGUCGAAUUCAACGUUAUAUAUAGCUUACAACAACAAUUCAUACCAAGAACGACGACUAUAGUAGUGUCCAACACCACCAAAAUAUCAUAAAGGAUGACUAAUUCAUCAUUUCAAAAUUAUGUGGUAUUUUUCCACACCAUUUAUCCUCCAAAAUCUCCAUUAAAUGGCAGCAAAUUAUACAGCCCAAAAUCUACACGAAACAGCUCAAAAAAUAGUCCAUUACAAACCAAAUAACUCGGACUUAUGGCUUCCGAUCACCGUCCCGUGAGUUCUAAAUAUUAUGAAAUGAAGUAAUCAGCCUUACUUGAUAUUUAAGAUCUUAAAACAAGAAAUUAGGCAUUUUAUUAACUUCAAAAUACCUUCCAAAACUCAAAUUACAAAGAAAAAGAGAGGUAAUAUAGUGACACUUACGUCAGGGAUCGUUUUGAUGUUAUCGCUACUUGAUUUCGUGUGCGGGAUGAUGGUAUUGUUUGGAACCCUUGUAGAGAGCUUAUGAGUGAUGUU